ACACUAUCAUUAACUGAAUCCAUAGGUUAAUGAGGCGAACCGGGGGAACUGAAACAUCUAAGUACCCCGAGGAAAAGAAAUCAACCGAGAUUCCCCCAGUAGCGGCGAGCGAACGGGGAGGAGCCCAGAGCCUGAAUCAGCAUGUGUGUUAGUGGAAGCGUCUGGAAAGGCGCGCGAUACAGGGUGACAGCCCCGUACACAAAAGCGCAUGUGCUGUGAGCUCGAUGAGUAGGGCGGGACACGUGGUAUCCUGUCUGAAUAUGGGGGGACCAUCCUCCAAGGCUAAAUACUCCUGACUGACCGAUAGUGAACCAGUACCGUGAGGGAAAGGCGAAAAGAACCCCGGCGAGGGGAGUGAAAAAGAACCUGAAACCGUGUACGUACAAGCAGUGGGAGCACAGGUUUACCUG
rnacentral:rRNA from 1 species